rnacentral:rRNA from 1 species
AGCUCCAAUAGCGUAUAUUAAAGUUGUUGCAGUUAAAAAGCUCGUAGUUGGAUUUCUGGUGAGUUCGUUUGGCCGGCCGUAAAGGUCUGUGCCGAAAUGUUAUUCGCCAUCCUUGGUGUAAUCUUGUCCGCCAUUAAGUUGUGUGGGCUUGAGGAUGCCAUCGUUUACUGUGAAAAAAUUAGAGUGUUCAAAGCAGGCUUAUGCCGUUGAAUACAUUAGCAUGGAAUAAUAAGAUAGGACCCUGGUACUAUUUUGUUGGUUUGCGUACCUAGGUAAUGAUUAAUAGGGACAGUUGGGGGUAUUUGUAUUCCGUUGUCAGAGGUGAAAUUCUUGGAUUUACGGAAGACAAACUACUGCGAAAGCAUUUACCAAGGAUGUUUUCA